CCAGACUCCUACGGGAGGCAGCAGUGGGGAAUAUUGCACAAUGGGGGAAACCCUGAUGCAGCAACGCCGCGUGAGUGAAGAAGUAUUUCGGUAUGUAAAGCUCUAUCAGCAGGGAAGAGAAUGACGGUACCUGACUAAGAAGCCCCGGCUAACUACGUGCCAGCAGCCGCGGUAAUACGUAGGUGGCAAGCGUUGUCCGGAUUUACUGGGUGUAAAGGGCGUGUAGCCGGGCUGACAAGUCAGAUGUGAAAUCCGGGGGCUCAACCCCCGAACUGCAUUUGAAACUGUUGGUCUUGAGUAUCGGAGAGGCAGGCGGAAUUCCUAGUGUAGCGGUGAAAUGCGUAGAUAUUAGGAGGAACACCAGUGGCGAAGGCGACUAUCUGGCACAUAACUGACGCUGAGGAGCGAAAGCGUGGGUAGCAAACAGGAUUAGAUACCCUGGUAU
rnacentral:rRNA from 1 species